UACGUAGGUGGCAAGCGUUGUUCGGAAUUAUUGGGCGUAAAGGGCGCGUAGGCGGUCGGUUAAGUCAGCUGUGAAAGCCCGGGGCUCAACCCCGGAGGGUCGGCUGAUACUGAUUGACUAGAGUACGGAAGAGGUAGCUGGAAUUCUCGGUGUAGCGGUGAAAUGCGUAGAUAUCGGGAGGAACACCUGAGGCGAAGGCGGGCUACUGGGCCGAUACUGACGCUGAGGCGCGAAAGCCAGGGGAGCGAACGGG
rnacentral:rRNA from 1 species